UACCUUGUUUUACCCCUUACCUGUUUUUCCGUCUUUUUGUUUUUAUUUUUGGACGAUUUCCUCAGUUUUGUAAUCUAGCUCUUUUCUAGUAGGUUUUUAAAAUGAAACCCGACAGGUAAACAGCAAAGGGCACAGCUCACAAGUGUGCAUUUAGCUCAGUGGCUCUCCAGAAACGGAAAACUCUUGCAUGACUCCCCCCCCCUCCCCCCGGCCAGGGGAUAGCGCGCUGCUGUUUCCUGCUGCUCCCCUCCUGCCCCACUGGUCACCACUCCCUCUUCUCCCAGCGACAGUCACUCGGGACUGCUGACGCCACAGUUCACUUUCACUGUUUUCAAGCUUUAGUGUACAUCAGCCUCACCUGCAAGAUUUGGGGUGGGUUUUUUCACCUUUUUAGGGCCACACCCGCAGCAUACGGAGGGUCCCAGGCUAGGGAUUGAAUCGGAGCUGCAGCUGCCAGCCUCCGCCACAGCCACAGCAGCGCAGGAUCCGAGCAGCAUCUGUGGCCUACAGCACCGCGGCAACGCCGGAUCCUUAACCCACUGAGCGAGGCCAGGGACCAAACCCGAAUCCUCACGGCUAUCGCUGAGCCACAACGGGAACUUCGGAAGAUUUGUUAAAACAGAUUGCUGGCGCUCACUUCAGAGUUUCUGAUUCAGUAGGUCUGUAUUAGAAUUUUCUUAAGAAGUUAUCAGGUGCUGCUGCUGAGAACCACUGGCCUAGGUUCUUUAGCUAAAACCAAAUGGAAUCAUACCGUUGUCCUUUUUGGUGUAUGGUGUUUUUUGUUCAAAAUUAACCUUGUGAAAUUAAUGCUUUUAGAAAAAGUAGCUGAAGUUCAUUUCAACUCCUGAGUAGUAUGACUCUGCCGUUGAGUGUGAAGUUAUUUAUCUGUUCUGCUGGUGGCGGUCGUUUGGACUAGUCCCAGUAUUUGGCUGUUAGGAGUGACGGUACUAAGGACAUUCCUUUGGAGUAUUUUGCUGAAAAUGUGCGAACGUUUCUGCUGGAAAUAAACCCGCGGGCGAGGAGCUGCUGGCAGGCAGCGUAUAUCCAGCUCUUUUCCACAGCAGUGGCACCAAUUUUCACUCCUAACAGCAGGGGGCGCGAGUGCGCUCUUUGCCCUGCGUCCUGGACGCCACCUCCCUGCUCCAUCUUUUUAUUUGUAAGCCCUUCUGGCAGGAGUGCAGUGGUUUCUCACUGUGGUCUUCCGUUGCAUUUCCAUGGUGACUGAUGGCACUUCUUAAGUUAUUUGCUACUUGGAUAUCCUUUGGUAUUACAUAGCCAUUUAAGUUUCUUGCUCAUUUUUGUAUUUAUUUAUCUAUCUUUUUCCUAUUGACUUGUACUAGUUCUUGGUAUAUUCUGGAUAUGACUAUUAGUUGGUAGUAUAUAUUGCAGUAAUUUCUUCCGUUCUGUGGUUUGCCUUUAUUCUGUUAGGCAUAAGGUUUUGAGGUGUGUGUGUGUGUGUGUGUGGUGAGAGCACCUGAGAUCUACUUUUAAAAGCAAAUUUCCGGCAUGUCGUAGAAUUAACUGUAGGCGUCCUGCUGCACGUCGAUGUCCGGCAUUACGCAUCCUGCGAAACCCUGACUCUGGCCUCUGACCAUCAUCCCCCCCCCCCCCCCCCCCCCCCCCUCGUCGCUGCCCUUGGCAACUGCCGCUCCACUCGCUUUGUUUUCGGUGUUCAGGCCGCACACGCGUGUGAGCUCCUGCGGUCCUCCUCUCUCCAUGUCUGGUUUAGUUCUCUUCGUCCAGUGCCCUCCAGGCCCACCGGCGUUAACACUCGCAGACGGCAGGAUCCGCUUGCUUCCUCAGGCUGAAUAAACCUCCAUGUUACGCCUGUAUACAGAAGGCGCAGAGCAAGGCAACAAAGGAGAAAUGGAUGUCGGCGUGGGCGAGGAACAAGCAGCAGCAGAGACGUCGACAGCUGAAGAAGUUAAGUUUGCCUUUCUGUACUGCAUAGUCUGACAAGCCAAAAAACCCCGGCUGCAACAGAACUUCCAGCCUCCCUGGGGCCCUGGAUGUGACUUACAUCCUGCCCGUGAAAUGUACGUGCUCAAGAUUUGAGAAGGCGGACGGAGGCGGAGGCCACUUCCCAACUGUAUCUGGCUUCGUUCGCGUGGGUUUGCUCAUGAUCCAGACUGUGGAGCUAAGUCCAACAGCCAUUUCCAGCCGUUCCAGUUUCCCGCACUGAAACCUCCUCACAAACAUAAUGAGGGGAACAGCCUUCGGGGAUCUCAUAGAGCCAGUUCGUCUCCCCCAGUCCCGGUUUCUGGGCAUGUGGAUUAAGAGCCAGGAUUCUCCCGACAAGCAGGGGCCAGAGCGUGUGCGCUGGCACAGCUGCAGAAGAGCCCAACAGAGGACGCCAGGACACAGGGCACCAGCCGGGCUUGGCUUCCAGGGGUCCUUCCUCCACCGGUGUGUGGGGAGAGAGCCUCUUUCACGGGGUGCCCGUUCCCCCAGAGCCUGUGCUCCGAACGCCACAAACGUCAGCCCAUCCACGACUCAAAACCACUGCAGGGCAGGCGUGGUCACCCUCAGUGGACGUUUGGGACGACGGACUCUGAGCCGGUGACGCGACUCGCCUGAGACGCUCAGAUAACAUCAGGUCUGUCUCACGGUCCACCGUUUACAUGAACGAGUUCUUCUCUUUUUUAAAUGAUGAAAAUAAUCUGUGUUCAUUGUCUGAUCUCUCUCAUCAUCCCGUUGGUGUGGCGGUAGCAGGAGGGAAGCAAGGGCUGUGCUUUCUGUGACCGUGUUUACGUCAUUGUCAAGUCCCUGCUGCUUUGAUGACAGAUCCUGCCCAGGUUUUGAUAAAAGAUACAGGAGUUCUAUUUUCUUUUUCCUUUCUUUUCUUUUUUUCAUUGCACUGACAUGAACAAUAUUUCAGAAAUAAGAGAUAAUUGACAAAAUGACUUGUGUUGAGCUAUUAAUAAAUAAAAGGGUAUAGCUAGUUACCGGCAAUAAAACUGCAAAAUGGAUGAUUGCAAGGAAUCACCAGCCACAUCUUAUUAAUAGGCCUCUGUGAGCUAAUUGAAAAGGAUUACAGCAUCACUAACAGUGGCAAUCUUCUAUGAUUUUAAUAACGACCAAAGUGUGUAUGUGUGUGUUUGGGCUGCUCCUUCUCUUCCCACCGGCUUUAGGCAAUAGUUAAAAAUGUGGCCACAAGAAUUCAGAUGUUACCUGUUACCUGCUUAGCCUAAACUGGUUCAGGGUGAUAACUGACUAUAAUCCGGUGUCAACAAUUCUAAGGCAGCAGGAGAAACUUGCUUAUACUCUGUAGCUGAAAAUAAACUAUGGAAAA
rnacentral:lncRNA from 1 species